GCCAAGUGGGAUAGCUCAGUUGGUAGAGCAUGAAAUGCUUAAUCUCAGGUUUGUGUGUUUGAGCCCCACUUUGGGUG